AGAUGAUGCGAGGAAGAGAAGGGUUCCUCCCCACCACCAGGCAGAAAACUCAAAGCCCAACUACUAUCAGUGACCAUAAAGAACCUUUCACAAACAACAUCUCGUCCCUCCUCCUCGGACAGCCACGGCCACAGGGAACAGUGCUGCUGGAAGCCAUGGCGUGGUUACCACAGCCAGGGAGCCGUCUCUGUGUACAGACCAUUGCUAAGAAGUUUACUCAACAAAGGCUGGUAUCCAGGCAGAUCCCAGGGCUGUUCCGAAGGCCAGCAUUUGGCUGCGCUCUAACACCCGCCUGUGCCUCGUGUUAACCAAGCUUUUCAUGUUCCUGGAAAAGCAAAGUGCUGGCUUUCAGCUCAAGUGUCCAGCAACCCCCGCGUUCUAGAUGGACCAAAGACUCCUUUCCAGAUCCAGCAAGCAGCACAGGAGCAAAGCAGCAGGCCGUAGCCUCGCCAUUUGCAACCGCACUUGGAUGCUUUUCUGAGCCUGCUCCCUCCAGGACAGAACGGGGAGCGUCACCAGGAUCCAAAUGGCUACAAGAACAGACUCUGAGAAACCAUGUAAAUGUCCCUAAUGGAUGCACAGCUGGCAAGCUGGUGGGGUGAGGGCAGUUUCCAGCACAUCAUCUCCAGUCUCGCGGAGCCACACACACAUGGUGUUGGGCAGAGAUGGACUUCCACUUGACCCCGACCACUGACAUCUGACCUUUUGCAUCUGUGAGAGCAUGUGCUUAACACUUGUCAGCUGCACUUGCUUGAAGGAAGGGAAGUGGGGACAGGAGGAGAUAAAGAUACCACAAUACCAUGACGGUGUGGCUUCCAAAUUUACUAAGGAGAGACCCCCAGCAAGUCUGGCCUACGAUUCAGGCGCCUAAGCCUGACAAAGCAGUGGCCUCGCCUGCCUCCACACUUGCAUAUGAGGGGUUGGGAGGGCUCAUUCUUAAGGGGGGGAAAAACGCGCUCUUGGCUUAAUGCCUCAGAGUAAUAAACCACCCUUUAAAAUCGCACCAAAAUGAUCACGUGUUGUCACUGUGGUGGCUCUGAGCUGGCAGCCAGAGCUCUGUCUCCAGCAGCUGCUCAGAGCCGAUGGCACUGCCUGGGCACCGCAGGGGGCAGCUUCCACUCACCAGACAGUGGGUCUUUGCCAAUCAUCAAAACAUUGGGCAAAUUCAUUACGAUCAGCUGCUGGAGAACUUCCUACAGAAACAAAGGGGAAAAGAUACCGUUAAGAACAGGAAACAAAAGUAAAGAAUGAUUAAGAAAAUUACAGUUUAUCAAGUCACUGGACGAAACGUGCAGCCGUUGAACUUACCGGUAACUAUGAAGGAUCCUAUAGAAUAGGAAGGAAUAUUUACAAUACAAAUAAAUGUGAAAAGUCAAAGUUAAUUAUACUUCAGCCUUGCUCAUGAACAAAUAAAAGUCAUGCUUGCAUCUGUACAGGGACCUCGGGAAAGAGAUCUACUGCAUGCUAGGAUAGAGGAUUAGGUGUAAGCUUCUUUUUAAGAGUUGUCUUUAUUUUUAUUUUAUGGUCUGCUCAUGCAAUUAAAAAAAAGUACAGAGUAAAGAUUACAGAGAUGCUUCUGAGUCCCCACGACCUGAUGAUUCAGCAUCGUAGCAUUCAGUAGGCCUUUGGUAUAAGCUGUAAAUGAGGGGUCUUCUCUCCUUUACGACACUGGCUUCCCUGGGAGAGGGUAUAAAUCACAGCUA